AAUAGAUACCUGGUAGUCCACGCCGUAAACGAUGAGUGCUAAGUGUUAGGGGGUUUCCGCCCCUUAGUGCUGCAGCUAACGCAUUAAGCACUCCGCCUGGGGAGUACGGUCGCAAGACUGAAACUCAAAGGAAUUGACGGGGGCCCGCACAAGCGGUGGAGCAUGUGGUUUAAUUCGAAGCAACGCGAAGAACCUUACCAGGUCUUGACAUCCCAUUGACCACUAUGGAGACAUAGUUUUCCCUUCGGGGACAACGGUGACAGGUGGUGCAUGGUUGUCGUCAGCUCGUGUCGUGAGAUGUUGGGUUAAGUCCCGCAACGAGCGCAACCCUUGUUCUUAGUUGCCAUCAUUUAGUUGGGCACUCUAAGGAGACUGCCGGUGACAAACCGGAGGAAGGUGGGGAUGACGUCAAAUCAUCAUGCCCCUUAUGACCUGGGCUACACACGUGCUACAAUGGACGGUACAAACGGUUGCCAACCCGCGAGGGGGAGCUAAUCCGAUAAAACCAUUCUCAGUUCGGAUUGUAGGCUGCAACUCGCCUAC
rnacentral:rRNA from 1 species